rnacentral:rRNA from 1 species
UACGAAGGGGGGCUAGCGUUGUUCGGAAUCACUGGGCGUAAAGGGCGCGUAGGCGGCUCAUGAAGGCUGUGGUGAAAGUCCGGGGCUCAACCUCGGAUCGGCCGUGGCGACUCGUGGGCUGGAGCACUGUAGAGGCGGGUGGAAUUCCGGGUGUAGCGGUGGAAUGCGUAGAGAUCCGGAAGAACACCAGUGGCGAAGGCGGCCCGCUGGGGCAGUGGCUGACGCUGAAGCGCGACAGCGUGGGGGAGCAAACAGG